CAUGGGAAGAAAAACUGGAAACGCCGUGGGAAAAGAAAAACAAAGAGACUUUUAUUUUGUAAGUCUUUUUAUAUAACAAAUUAAAAGGUCCAAGUUUUGGUCCUAAUCUAAUUUCUAAACAGCAAACGCUGACGCAAAGAAACAUUACCACCAAACAAGCAAACAAUCCCCCACACAAGAAAUCAAAGUGAGAAUAAGGAAAACCCACUCCCCAAAUUAUCUCAAUUUCUCUCCUCAAAUUCUCAAUCUUCGCAUUGCGGGGGCUUUGAUUCUCUUUCGAUACUGGGUUUUGACAGGAAAUUUUGAGGAUAAAGGACUUGAGUGAAGGGAUUAGGACAUCAGACAUGGCUGG